GACGAACGCUGGCGGCGUGCUUAACACAUGCAAGUCGAACGGAAAGGCCCUGCUUUUGUGGGGUGCUCGAGUGGCGAACGGGUGAGUAACACGUGAGUAACCUGCCCUUGACUUUGGGAUAACUUCAGGAAACUGGGGCUAAUACCGGAUAGGAGCUCCUGCUGCAUGGUGGGGGUUGGAAAGUUUCGGCGGUUGGGGAUGGACUCGCGGCUUAUCAGCUUGUUGGUGGGGUAGUUGCUUACCAAGGCUUUGACGGGUAGCCGGCCUGAGAGGGUGACCGGGCACAUGGGGACUGAGAUACGGACCAGACUCCAACGGGAGGCAGCAGUGGAGAGUAUUACACAAUGGGCGGAAGCCUGAUGCAGCAGCGCCGCGUGCGGGAUGACGGCCUUCGGGUUGUAAACCGCUUUCGCCUGUGACGAAGCGUGAGUGACGGUAAUGGGUAAAGAAGCACCGGCUAACUACGUG
rnacentral:rRNA from 1 species